GACGAACGCUGGCGGCGUGCUUAACACAUGCAAGUCGAACGGAAAGGCCCUGCUUUUGUGGGGUGCUCGAGUGGCGAACGGGUGAUUAACACGUGAGUAACCUGCCCUUGACUUUGGGAUAACUUCAGGAAACUUGGGCUAAUACCGGAUAUGAGCUCCUGCUGCAUGGUGGGGGUUGGAAAGUUUCGGCGGUUGGGGAUGGACUCGCGGCUUAUCAGCUUGUUGGUGGGGUAGUGGCUUACCAAGGCUUUGACGGGUAGCCGGCCUGAGAGGGUGACCGGCCACAUUGGGACUGAGAAACGGCCCAGACUCCUAAGGGAGGAAGCAGUGGGGAAUAUUGAACAAUGGGCGGAAGCCUGAUGCAGAAACGCCGCGUGCGGGAUGACGGACUUCGAGUUGUAAACCGCUUUCGCAUGUGACGAAGCGUGAGUGACGGUAAUGGGUAAAGAAGCACCGGCUAACUACGUG
rnacentral:rRNA from 1 species